rnacentral:rRNA from 1 species
UACAGAGGUCUCAACCGUUGUUCGGAUUCAUUGGGCGUAAAGGGUGCGUAGGCGGUCGCGUAAGUCAGGUGUGAAAUCUCGGGGCUCAACCCCGAAACUGCACUUGAUACUGCUUCGCUUGAGUACUGGAGAGGAGACUGGAAUUUACGGUGUAGCAGUGAAAUGCGUAGAUAUCGUAAGGAAGACCAGUGGCGAAGGCGAGUCUCUGGACAGUUACUGACGCUGAGGCACGAAGGCCAGGGGAGCAAACGGG